GGGGACUUCUGAGGAGGCGCUACUCCCUCCAGUAAUCAGUAGGAACCAGAGGAACUAAUCAGAAACUGCCAAGCUGGAGGUCAACCAUGAGACCACCUUCCAAGGUUAACGCUAUCACUCACAGAGGGUGGCUGGGCACCUUUCUCCCUCUGGGGGCACUUACUAAAGAACAUGUUCUGAAACACUGCAGGUUACAUCUCAAGGGGGGUGAGGGGCAUGACCCUGAUGAGCUGAACUCCCAGGAUCCUUUCAACACCAGCAAGCAACUGAACUCGGAAGGCAAUGGCUGGAGAGAAACAGGCAGAGGAAGGAUUGAAGGACAGAAGGACAUGUCCCCGAUCGCCUACCUCGCAACAGUUCCCAAGAGAUGCUCUCUGAGCCACCUCUGUGGAAAACAACAACUUAGAAAAGACAGAAGUGAAUUGAAAGACCUUUUCCAGGUUUGGGGCCAAGAGACUCUCAGAAUAGUCUCGACAAACAGGUCCAUGCUCUGAGGCGUCAGUGAUAACAUGAAUGAAGACAGAUAGCAGGAAUUCUCCAACUUCACAGGACACUCAACGUCCCUAUAAUUAAGGCCUAUUCAGGUUGACGCUUUCGACAAUCAUAUUUUGUCCCUCGAGAUCGUCUUGCCGGCAAGAACAACACAGGACACUCGGAUCCUUCUGCAGUAAAGCUUUUAUGCGUCUUGAGAGAGAGAGCAUAAGCUUACAAAAGCGGAGACCCCGGGCCAAGAAUCCCGUCCCCUAAUAAAG
ensembl:lincRNA